CACUCCCUCACUCUGUUUCCCGGAUUACCUCCCAAAUCAGCUACUUGCACUCAAAUCUUUGUCUGAGGAUCUGCUUUUAGGAGAAUCCAAACUAAGACAUCUAUUGAAAGGAUAAAAGGGAAGCCCCAGAAGAAGCAGGAGCUGAUGCUCAUUAUAACUGUGAAAGGGACAUGGAUCGGACAAAUUUAAAGGGGGCAAGGGCUGAAUCUGGUACCCUGAAAACCACUUUUUUUUCCCCUAAUGAGGCAGAAACAAAAACUUAAGGAAGUUGUAAGCCACAGUGGCCAACAGAAAAGUUAGAAUGUGUCCUGCAGAACAAGCUUCUCUGCUCUCCCAAACCAGGUAAGGCUGGGGCUGGUGGGCAGGGGAAGAAAAGGCGGACUGGGGAGGAAGCGCACAGAGGGACUGUGAAUGCUCAGAGUGAUGGGGAGGGAAAUUUCUCCUGGAUUUAGGAUGAAGAAUGGGGUGGAAGGGAGCUGUGUUCACUUCUCCUUAAGUGUGGACGCCCACUGGUCUACAGCUGGAAGACAAUCCACUAGGACCCUCUAAAGCUCCUCUGAACAGAGGGUGGGGAAUUUGAACUAUUUGCAUGGAAUGGGCCAGAAAGUUAAACCUUACACCUUGACUGAGAUAGGAGGGAGCAAUUUUCUAUGAGCCAGGGUAGAGUGGACAAACUGUGCUUGAUGAACUCUUGUUAUUUGAGCACUUACGAUGGGCUGAGCACUGUGCUAGAUGCUUUACCUGUGUUGCCUCAUUUAAGCUCACAACAACCCAGGACAAGAGUAAUUAGGCUGUAGGACGGCUAUUGCUCUCAGCACUGCAGGCUUUCUCCUUCACGUUUGGAGAGAGGGAGAGGGAGGGGAAGGAGGGAGAGAGAGGGCACCUCUCCCUUGCCAACAAACAAAAAUCUUUCCCUUAAUUCUGAUUGGUUUAGCCUAGGCCAUGUGCCCAUGCCUUAUCCAAUAACUGUGUACCAAGAGAAUGCUGAGUGCCGGCUGGCUUAGGCCUGGGCUGCUGAAUCAAUCACUGGCAGGGGAAAUGGGAUUAUUAUGAUUGGCUGAGACUAAUCAGGGUCAGCCUCUGGAGGGUCAAUUUUUCAAACUACUUGCAGCUACUCAAUGGGGGAGGGGUGGCGUGGCAUUUGGGGGUCAUCCAUUCUGUCUACUACUUAUGCGUUAUCAUCUUCCCAUUGCA
rnacentral:lncRNA from 1 species